AUAUGCCUAGGUGGGAUUAGCUAGUUGGUGAGGUAAGGGCUCACCAAGGCGACGAUCCCUAGCUGGUCUGAGAGGAUGAUCAGCCACACUGGAACUGAGACACGGUCCAGACUCCUACGGGAGGCAGCAGUGGGGAAUAUUGCACAAUGGGCGCAAGCCUGAUGCAGCCAUGCCGCGUGUGUGAAGAAGGCCUUCGGGUUGUAAAGCACUUUCAGUCGUGAGGAAGGUGGUGUAGUUAAUAGCUGCAUCAUUUGACGUUAGCGACAGAAGAAGCACCGGCUAACUCCGUGCCAGCAGCCGCGGUAAUACGGAGGGUGCGAGCGUUAAUCGGAAUUACUGGGCGUAAAGCGCAUGCAGGUGGUUUGUUAAGUCAGAUGUGAAAGCCCGGGGCUCAACCUCGGAAUUGCAUUUGAAACUGGCAGACUAGAGUACUGUAGAGGGGGGUAGAAUUUCAGGUGUAGCGGUGAAAUGCGUAGAGAUCUGAAGGAAUACCGGUGGCGAAGGCGGCCCCCUGGACAGAUACUGACACUCAGAUGCGAAAGCGUGGGGAGCAAACAGGAUUAGAUACCCUGGUAGUCCACGCCGUAAACGAUGUCUACUUGGAGGUUGUGGCCUUGAGCCGUGGCUUUCGGAGCUAACGCGUUAAGUAGACCGCCUGGGGAGUACGGUCGCAAGAUUAAAACUCAAAUGAAUUGACGGGGGCCCGCACAAGCGGUGGAGCAUGUGGUUUAAUUCGAUGCAACGCGAAGAACCUUACCUACUCUUGACAUCCAGAGAACUUUCCAGAGAUGGAUUGGUGCCUUCGGGAACUCUGAGACAGGUGC
rnacentral:rRNA from 1 species